rnacentral:rRNA from 1 species
UAAGUAGAUAGUGAAAUCUGGUGGCUCAACCAUUCAGACUAUUAUCUAAACUGCUAAGCUCGAGACCGUUAGGGGUAACUGGAAUUUCUAGUGUAGGAGUGAAAUCCGUAGAUAUUAGAAAGAACACCGAUAGCGUAGGCAGGUUACUGGGACGGUUCUGACACUAAGGCACGAAAGCGUAGGGAGCAAACGGGAUUAGAUACCCCGGUAGUCUACGCCGUAAACGAUGGAUACUA